UCUCCUGCUGCAAUUCAACUUGGCUGGGGGCCGGUAGUGAGAUCUAGGGCUACUUCAACAAAACUUUGCUGCCCUUCCUGCUCCUCUUGUCUUCUUUUCUCCUGAUACCUUUUGAUGCUCUUCACAUGUUAUUUGCAUAGCAAAGGCACUAAGCUGUCCAGGAAGAGAGGGCACCACUUCCACCCCAAUAAGUCUUUUUUUCCCCUUCCUUUCUCUUUUUCCUUUCCUUUUUUUUUGGAGAGGGGGGGGGGCGAGAGAGAAAGAGGGUUUGCAAAGACAGCAUCUCAGGAUGAUAGCCUGGAUGUAUUAUUGAAGGCAUUUCUUUUGCUGCCAAAUCGGAAAGUCCGUUCUCUAAGGCCCGGGUUAACCAGACUAUAGGGUUUUAUUCUGGCUGCAGAAUAACUAACUGACUGCUGUGGCUUUGCAAAGAGGGGCAGCAAAAAAAACUUAGAGAGGAGAGGGAGUACGUGAGUCGUCCAGUGCAAUCUCUAUUGUUUGAAACUUACUUUUUAUCAGAAUUUGAAGAUGAAAACGGUUAAAAAAUGGCCAUACUUCAGUAGCUAAUCAGCCUAAUGCUUUGCUUAUGAAAAAAUUUCCAUCAUUUUUUUUUCAUUUUGGAUUGAGAAAAUGAAUCCACAUUUAGAAGAAAGUAUGGGAUGUUGGAAAAAAGUACCUGCUAAACAGUGGAACAUCUAAUAACUAAUUUGCAAGAAGUUUUAAAGAAAUAGAAUUGUUAUGCUUCGAUUUUGGUAUGGUAUUGACUCUCUAGCACAUAGGUAGCCCUCCAAAAAAUCAUCCAGUUUUCUAAAUUAUGGAAAUUUUGUGGAAGACGUUGACCUGGAUUUUGAGCCUCUUCAUGGCUUCAUCGGAAUUUCGUAGUGACCAUAGGCUUUCAUACAGUUCACAAGAGGAAUUCCUGAAUUAUCUAGAACAUUACCAGCUAACUAUUCCAAUAAGGGUUGAUCAAAAUGGAGCUUUUCUCAGCUUUACUGUGAAAAAUGAUAAACACUCCAGAAGAAGACGGAGUAUGGACCCUAUCGAUCCACAGCAGGCAGUAUCUAAGUUAUUCUUUAAACUUUCAGCCUAUGGAAAGCACUUUCACCUAAACUUGACUCUCAACACAGAUUUUGUGUCCAAACACUUUACAGUAGAAUAUUGGGGGAAAGAUGGACCCCAGUGGAAACAUGAUUUUUUAGACAACUGCCAUUAUACAGGAUACUUGCAAGAUCAACAUAGUACAACUAAAGUGGCUUUAAGCAACUGUAU